GCGUUUAAACACUCAUUCUUCCCGCUCUACAUGCGCCAAUGGAACGGGAAGAAGCCGUAAUGAGAGGUAGAGCUGAUAGCAUUGGACCCAACUCAGCGUUUUGUUGUAGAGGACAAAUCUCGGAAAGAUAUUGCUGAACAUUUGGUACAAAUUUGUGUAGAUAAACUUUGUCAAAAGACUCCCUCUUUGGCAACUUUAAAAAUGCAGGUUCAUUUUGAUACAAACUUUGUACCUAAAGCUAAUCUAGUGAUAACUAAUCGCACAAAAAGGAAACAGAAAACAAGUGUGAUAUUGAAGGAAAUUUCAGAAAUAACAGCAAGGACAAGAGAAGCACUGAAAAAAAUAUAUAGAAAACUUGUAAUUGCAGUAACAAUUUACUCUGGGCUAGGAAGUCCUACAAAUAUUUCUGUAUUACAAGAAACAAGUGAUGCACUUCAGAGUGUUUUCCCUUUGAGUGAAUUGGAAAAAUUUCUCUGCCUUCCACAUAAAGAGAAAGAGCACCGUGUUACUGAACUUUCUCAAAUUGUGGCAGGCAUUCGGCUAUU